UGAGCUUCUUGGCCUUUUGAUUGAGAUCGCGUAGUAUCUGUUCUUAUCUGUUUAAUAUCUGAUAUGUCCUCUGAGGACAAUAUAUUAAAUGUAUUUUUGGAGCAGGGAUAUGGAAUGAGUUUGCUUCAUCCACUCGAUGCAUUGACCUGGUAUUGCAGUACUUCUGGGUGCACUCAAAAACCC